UCCCAGACUCCUACGGGAGGCAGCAGUGAGGAAUAUUGGUCAAUGGGCGAGAGCCUGAACCAGCCAAGUCGCGUGAAGGAUGACGGCCCUACGGGUUGUAAACUUCUUUUGUCAGGGAGCAAUUGGGUCCACGCGUGGGCUUAGCGAGAGUACCUGAAGAAAAAGCAUCGGCUAACUCCGUGCCAGCAGCCGCGGUAAUACGGAGGAUGCGAGCGUUAUCCGGAUUUAUUGGGUUUAAAGGGUGCGUAGGCGGAAUAUCAAGUCAGCGGUAAAAAUUCGGGGCUCAACCCCGUCGUGCCGUUGAAACUGUGUCCCUUGAGUGCGCGAAGGGUAGGCGGAAUGCGUGGUGUAGCGGUGAAAUGCAUAGAUAUCACGCAGAACUCCGAUCGCGAAGGCAGCCUACCGGCGCGCAACUGACGCUCAUGCACGAAAGCGUGGGUAUCGAACAGGAUUAGAUACCCUUGUAGAU
rnacentral:rRNA from 1 species